rnacentral:tRNA from 1 species
GCCUGGGUGGCGGAACUGGUAGACGNNCGCAAGGGACUUAAAAUCCCUCGACGCUUGACGUUGUGAGGAUUCGAUUUCCUCCCCAGGCACCA